rnacentral:miRNA from 1 species
GGCAGAUGAUUGAAAACUGAG